CGAAAGGUCUGGGUAAUCUUUCAAAAUUAGUCGUGCUGGGGAUAGACUAUUGUAAUUAUUAGUCUUCAACGAGGAAUUCCUAGUAAGUGCAGGUCAUCAACUUGCGCUGAUUACGUCCCUGCCCUUUGUACACACCGCCCGUCGCU
rnacentral:rRNA from 1 species